GAUGAACGCUAGCGAUAGGCUUAACACAUGCGAGUCGAGGGGCAGCACAAGGUAGCUUGCUCUCUGGGUGGCGACCGGCGCACGGGUGCGUAACGCGUAUGCAACUUGCCCUAUACAGGAGGAUAACCCGUCGAAAGACGGACUAAUACUGCGUAUGCUCACAACUUGGCAUCAAGUGGUGAGGAAAGAAAUUCGGUAUAGGAUAGGCAUGCGUCCCAUUAGCUUGUUGGUGAGGUAACGGCUCACCAAGGCAACGAUGGGUAGGGGAACUGAGAGGUUUAUCCCCCACACUGGUACUGAGACACGGACCAGACUCCUACGGGAGGCAGCAGUGAGGAAUAUUGGUCAAUGGGCGCGAGCCUGAACCAGCCAAGUCGCGUGAAGGAUGACUGUCUUAUGGAUUGUAAACUUCUUUUAUACGGGAAUAACAAGAGUCACGGGUGACUCCCUGCAUGUACCGUAUGAAUAAGCAUCGGCUAACUCCGUG
rnacentral:rRNA from 1 species